ensembl:lncRNA
AACAGAGCAAGGCGGAAGGGAACACGGAGGGAGGCCUGCACAAGAAGAGGCAGGACUGAGUGCCUCGGGCUCACAGACGUGGACAGAGGAGAGAGGCCAAGAUGAGGGGAGAGGUGUGGACGGGCCGGGAUGAGGCUGGGAGCUGACGCAGGUUGAUCCAGAGCCCCUGAUUGAGUUUCCUGAGCCGUACAGCAAAUUCCCAUCGGCUAUCUAUUUUACAUAUGAUAAUUCAGAUGGAGAUGAUGAUGCCCUUUCUCAAACUCCAAGAAAGGACCUAAAAUAAACAACAGAUAUAAAACUGCUCUGAAAGAUUAAAAGAAGAGGAAACGGAGAAAGAACUCUGCAAAUGGCCACAGAUAUCAAAGGGAGGAAGACUGUUUGGUCCCUGCCUCGGAUGGACGAGUCAAACAGAAAGGCCUUGAGAACUUGUUCAGCGAGUUUUACACACCCUCAGCACCCUGUUCAGCCCUUUGGAGAAUGAUUUGGAGGAAGGCUUGGCCAAUCCUUUAGCCAUUCUCCUGGGACCUCAGGGUCAUUCCCCUUGUCUUCAGUGAUUUCCUAAGGAGAAAUGCAAACCUGGAUU